rnacentral:rRNA from 1 species
UGGGGGAAUAUUGCACAAUGGGCGAAAGCCUGAUGCAGCAACGCCGCGUGAGUGAUGAAGGUCUUCGGAUUGUAAAGCUCUGUCUUUUGGGACGAUAAUGACGGUACCAAAGGAGGAAGCCACGGCUAACUACGUGCCAGCAGCCGCGGUAAUACGUAGGUGGCGAGCGUUGUCCGGAUUUACUGGGCGUAAAGGGUGCGUAGGCGGAUGUUUAAGUGAGAUGUGAAAUACCCGGGCUUAACUUGGGUGCUGCAUUUCAAACUGGAUAUCUAGAGUGCAGGAGAGGAGAAUGGAAUUCCUAGUGUAGCGGUGAAAUGCGUAGAGAUUAGGAAGAACACCAGUGGCGAAGGCGAUUCUCUGGACUGUAACUGACGCUGAGGCACGAAAGCGUGGGUAGCAAACAGGAUUAGAU